rnacentral:misc_RNA from 1 species
GAUGAAGAACGCAGCGAAAUGCGAUACGUAAUGUGAAUUGCAAAUUCAGUGAAUCAUCGAGUCUUUGAACGCACAUUGCGCCCCCUGGUAUUCCGGGGGGCAUGCCUGUCCGAGCGUCAUUGCUGCCCUCAAGCACGGCUUAUGUGUUGGGCCCCGUCCUCCGAUCCCGGGGGACGGGCCCGAAAGGCAGCGGCGGCACCGCGUCCGGUCCUCGAGCGUAUGGGGCUUUGUCACCCGCUCUGUAGGCCCGGCCGGCGCUUGCCGAUCAACCCAAAUUUUUAUCCAGGUUGACCUCGGAUCAGGUAGGGAUACCCGCUGAACUUAAGCAUAUCAAUAAGCGGAGGA